AAUUUAGGUACCUUAAACUAAGUAUUAGUCUUUUAAAUUAAUCAAAGAAAUAUAAAAUUCUCCUAAAUUU
rnacentral:tRNA from 1 species